rnacentral:ncRNA from 1 species
GCAGAGUAGGAUCGUGCGCGUGAAGUGCCGGAUGAACAGGGAGUUGUCACCCGGACGAAAAGCAGGGGAUAUCCCGUGCUUGCGGUGUAUGUUCCGCAUCCCGCUGC